rnacentral:rRNA from 1 species
CGUAGGGUGCGAGCGUUAAUCGGAAUUACUGGGCGUAAAGCGUGCGCAGGCGGUUCGUUAAGUCAGAUGUGAAAGCCCCGGGCUCAACCUGGGAACUGCAUUUGAAACUGGCGGGCUUGAGUGUGGCAGAGGGGGGUGGAAUUCCGCGUGUAGCAGUGAAAUGCGUAGAGAUGCGGAGGAACACCGAUGGCGAAGGCAGCCCCCUAGGCCAACACUGACGCUCAGGCACGAAAGCGUGGGGAGCAAACAGGAUUAGAUACCCUGGUAGUCCACGCCCUAAACGAUGCUCACUAGGUGUUGGGGAAGCGAUUCCUUGGUACCGUAGCUAACGCGUGAAGUGAGCCGCCUGGGGAGUACGGCCGCAAGGUUA